GUCGAGCGGACAGAAGGGAGCUUGCUCCCGGAUGUUAGCGGCGGACGGGUGAGUAACACGUGGGUAACCUGCCUGUAAGACUGGGAUAACUCCGGGAAACCGGAGCUAAUACCGGAUAGUUCCUUGAACCGCAUGGUUCAAGGAUGAAAGACGGUUUCGGCUGUCACUUACAGAUGGACCCGCGGCGCAUUAGCUAGUUGGUGAGGUAACGGCUCACCAAGGCGACGAUGCGUAGCCGACCUGAGAGGGUGAUCGGCCACACUGGGACUGAGACACGGCCCAGACUCCUACGGGAGGCAGCAGUAGGGAAUCUUCCGCAAUGGACGAAAGUCUGACGGAGCAACGCCGCGUGAGUGAUGAAGGUUUUCGGAUCGUAAAGCUCUGUUGUUAGGGAAGAACAAGUGCAAGAGUAACUGCUUGCACCUUGACGGUACCUAACCAGAAAGCCACGGCUAACUACGUGCCAGCAGCCGCGGUAAUACGUAGGUGGCAAGCGUUGUCCGGAAUUAUUGGGCGUAAAGGGCUCGCAGGCGGUUUCUUAAGUCUGAUGUGAAAGCCCCCGGCUCAACCGGGGAGGGUCAUUGGAAACUGGGAAACUUGAGUGCAGAAGAGGAGAGUGGAAUUCCACGUGUAGCGGUGAAAUGCGUAGAGAUGUGGAGGAACACCAGUGGCGAAGGCGACUCUCUGGUCUGUAACUGACGCUGAGGAGCGAAAGCGUGGGGAGCGAACAGGAUUAGAUACCCUGGUAGUCCACGCCGUAAACGAUGAGUGCUAAGUGUUAGGGGGUUUCCGCCCCUUAGUGCUGCAGCUAACGCAUUAAGCACUCCGCC
rnacentral:rRNA from 1 species